GAUGAGUUCUCCCUGAGACUGUAAGUCUCCUGAAGGAACGUUGAAGACGACGACGUUGAUAGGCCGGGUGUGUAAGCGCAGCGAUGCGUUGAGCUAACCGGUACUAAUGAACCGUGAGGCUUAACCUU
rnacentral:rRNA from 1 species